AAGUGCAGGGGGGAGCAGGUGGACAAGUGGAGUUUCGCCAACUCUGCGUACGCGCAGAUAUUCCCUAUUCCUAUUUCCUCCCCAUUCCUUUCAUCACCCCCAAGGUCUCCACUUCUCUCUUUUUCUUCUUCUUCUUCUCACUGUUCUUGGCAUACCCGCACUCCGCCAAACAAACAGAAAAAAUGCAAAGCAAUUCCUCUUAAUUUCUACCAACUCUACCCUAAACCCCUCUCUCCCGAUUCCCAGCCAAAAAUAUUUCACCAAAAUUUUACCAAACAAGAGCUUCCUAUCUCUAACGAAUACACAUAAAUAUAUCGUUUGGUCUAUAGUUUAUGACGAUGGCUCACCAAAGUUCUGAUCGCUUAACCUCUGCUGACACUGCGGAGGCUUUGAACGUUUUGGUUGUGGAUAGGAACAACAACCUUGCUAAUCCCAACCUGUUGACUGAUAAGGAUUUGGUUGCAGUUGGUCCCUUGAGGGACGGUACGGAUCAGUCAAGAUUCAUGCCCUCUGUGGUUGACUCUAAGACAACCUUUUUGUCUAAUGCCUAUUCCCUCGAGUCACAAUUCCAUCUUGAAGCUGAUAAACAGGGUUCAUUCCUUCCAUAUUUGAGUGCUAAGGGCCUGGAAAGUGGCUUUCAUGGCAUCUACAAUGAAACUGCAUCUCUUGGUUUUCAUGGUUUUAGGCACAGCUCUCAAAUGCCACAUAGACCUUAUCUUCCAGUUUCAUCUCAGCUGCCUCUUGUAGGGGAUCCUAGUUGGUUACCCACUACAAGGCAUUUCCGUACCUCAGAUUCAUCUUAUCACCAGUCAUCAGUUCCUCUAAAUAUUCCAAAAGUUGCUUCAAAGGCUCAAUUUUCCCAUCUAGAGUUUCCUGUGAAUAUUGAGCAACAACUGGAUGGAAAAAGAUUUGGCCUGAGACCAAAUUAUCUCCCUCCAUCAGGAUUAUAUGGUGGAGGAAGCAACUUCCCUGGAAACUCUGGCAAGUGUUGCAUGCAAUAUCAAGGGUUUGAUGGAUUUGGGGCUGCUAGAUUCUGCUCAGACUGUUCAAAGCCUUUUAUUGGGAAGAGUUCUUUGUUUCAGACAUCAUAUCCAGCAGCUUCUCCGAAACAAGUUGGUUCACUGGAGUUUCCUUCAAACAACCUUGGAACGGCUCCUUUCUCGAAAGGAUCAUUUUAUGGUUUUGUUUCUUCUUCUGGCUCGGGCUCUAGAAGCUACACUGGUAGCCGAAGUGAUCAAAGUUCUGGCUGUGGCAGUGUUUCCAGUUCUAGCUUAGGAAUAAAUGGUCAGAACUGGCCUUCGCUUGAUGAAGCAAGACAAGGAGGAAACUGCAAUGACUUUUCAUGUAGUUCUACUGUAACACUUGAUACAUUAAGUGAGCGUAACAAGGGACCUAGGGCAUUUAAGCCUAAAAGUCAGGUUACGGCCAAAGGUUUUAUUGUUGAUAGCAGCAAGAAUGGCCCAACUAAUGGCAUUAGCAAUGGAUCAUACAACCGACAGAAUUUUGUCACUGACUAUGUGGAUGCAAAGUUCUUUGUGAUAAAAUCUUAUAGUGAAGAUAAUAUUCACAAGAGCAUAAAGUAUGGUGUCUGGGCAAGCACCCCAAGUGGCAACAAAAAAUUGGAUACUGCUUAUCAUGAGGCAAAAGAGAAACAAGGGACAUCACCUGUCUUUCUGCUAUUUUCGGUGAAUGCUAGUGCCCAGUUUUGUGGAGUGGCUGAGAUGGUGGGACCUGUUGACUUUGACAAAAGCGUGGAAUAUUGGCUUCAGGAUAAGUGGUCGGGGCAAUUCCCAGUAAAGUGGCACAUUAUUAAAGAUGUCCCCAACAGUCAGUUCCGCCACAUCCUGCUUGAAAAUAAUGACAACAAGCCGGUUACUAACAGUAGGGAUACUCAAGAGGUAAGGAUUCAUUUGGGAUUGACACUUUAUAGCCACUUUUGAGUGGUGAUGUGAUACUUGGCGUUUCCGGUUGCAUUCAAAUUUAGUGCCAUUACGGCCUCACAUCGUGGUUGUUUUACUUGAGCUGCUGAGAUGAUUAUGUUGGUCUAGAAUCAAAUUGAAUUUGGCCAAGAUAACAUGAAAUUUGUGUACUUGAUUUCCACCAUCAUUAUUUGCCUGUACUUCUUAAGUCAUGAGGGUGGUGUAUUUAUAAAUUUUUGUUGAAAUGUUUUGAUGUAUAACUCGAUAAACUGCAAGUCACAAUGUACAUAUCAGAGCUAGAAGCAACCCUUGUUUCGGUUUGAACAACUUGUGUGUAGGCAUGUGUUGCAUGCACAAUUUGUUAUGUUAGGAGUUACUGUGAAUGCAAGCAAAAUUUCAUGUGCACUGCUGAUAUGUAAGACUUGAUGAUGUGCCAUCCAAUGAAUCCAGUUUUCGCACCAUUGCACUUAUUUUAUCUGACUGUGCUUACAUCAAGUAAGGUGGAAUUGGAACAGGGUGUUGAGAUAUUGAACAUUUUUAAAAAUUAUGAAAGUCAUUCAUCCAUCCUAGAUGAUUUUUACUUUUAUGAAGAACGGCAGAGAGCAAUGCAGGAAAGGAAGGCUAGACAGCUAACU